GGAUGUGGAGGGGGUGAGGGCAGGAAGCCAUCGAUUGCUCCCCUCAACACUCCCAAGUCUGGAAAGUUACUUUACCCUGAGCUGGAGAGGUAGGGGCGGGCCACCCUCAUCCCCACCACACGUCGCGGGCGCGCCGGCCGCGGAGGCGCCUGGCCCUUUAAGAAGGGGGCCCUGUCUUGCCUGGCCUGCAUCCGGCGCCCACCGCAGGAGAAGGGGUAGGAAAUGGAGAGUCAGGUCGGCCUGCUCUUUGGGCUCGGUCUUCCCGGUCCCAGAGCAUCGCCCCUGCCCCUGCAGCGCUGUACUCCUGAGGAAGGGGGCGGCAGAGAGCACCCUUAGCCCAUUCCACAGGUGGGAAGACUGAGACCUCCAGAUGAGAAGGGCCUUGCCUCAAGUCUGACUCCAGCGACUUCAGCAGGGGCACGGAGCGAACUGAGUUAGGUGUGCCGGGAAGAGGCAGGCGUGGGGCGGGGCGGGGUGAAGAUUGGUGUAGUUUCCUUUCAUCAUCCCAGGGAGCCCUUAGGAUGGUGGCGAACCAAAGGCCUGGAGGACUCUGUAAAGGCCAGUUAGCAACCAUGGAGGACGACGUCCACACAACUUGUUAGAUGGAGAAUUGAGAUCCAGGACGGACUAUAUCGGGGCUGCAUGUGUCUUUCUGCCUGUGCAACUAGAUUUUAGGACCCUGAGGCACCCCGGAAUGGAAGCUCCAGAGAGCAGGAUUUCUCUGUUCACUGCUGUCUCCUCAGGGCCCAGAAAAGUGCAUCAGGUGGAUGCUCAAUACGUCAUUUUCAGGACUGCGCUAGGAGAGAAGAACAGAGGUGGCUCUGUGGCCCCGGCUGGCCGCACACAAACUCUGCUCCAUGAGUCCACAGCCCUCUUGGUCCAGGCAGAGUCCGCCCUGCGCCUGCCCAGUGCAUGAGCCAUCUGGGUCUCCAAGUCCCUCUGCGUGUUCAAAGGCCGCACCAUUGCCUGCCAGCCACUCGAGUCCACACAAGCGGCUCUGGCCUGAGCCCUGCUGACCCUGUACCCGGCAGCUCGCUGGAUGUGCAGCAUACACUGCCUGGGACUGAUCCCUGACCUUUCACAGGGUGAGAAUGUUCCCUGGAAAACAGUGCAUGACCCUCAUGGGGAGACAAACCUUUAAACUCUGCCAUGGCAGGAUGCAGCACAGGGCCACAUGCGUGAUCAAGAGGGCUACUGCGGGUGGUAUCAGAGGGCAGGGGGACAGACACUGACAGGGACUGUCCCAUCACUUCCCUACUCAACCCAUAAAAGUGGCCCCGGGAUAAAGUCUCCUACAACCAGGGCCACUGACUUCUCCCAUCUCACCUUUUCUUCUUUCUCCUCAAAACUGCCCCACUUCAUCGACACAACAGCCUGGGCUGACCCCUGAAUGCACUGUCUGCCAGCACAAGCCUCCUGAGUGCUGGUUCCCCAGCCUGGGAUGCCCUGACCUCUGCCUGCCACAUGUCCAGCUCACCCUGAUUCUGAGUCGGCUUGACCAUCACCUCCUCUGUGAAACACACCCCCUGCACAUCCCGAAUCACUAACCACCUACACUCCCAGCACUGUGAGAAGGGCAGGACACAGAUUCCAGAGCUUGAGCGUGCCGUCCUCAGAAGCGGUGAGCAAAGCCGACUGGCUGUGGUGGAAAGCCAGGGAGCGGAUGCCGUCAUAGUGAGAGCGC